UUGACAUAUAUGUAAUAAUGUUAAAAUCGUAUGUGAUAACACAGGAGAAAACUUGAUUGCUUUAAAUAUUAUUACGUGACAUAAAUGUAAUCAUUUUAGAAUUUUAUGUGGUAGCACCAGGAAAUACUACUUUACUAUAUAUAUAUAUGUAACUGUAGAGGAUUGUAGAAUAUAGCUGCUGAUGUAUUGUUAAUGGGCUGUAACAUUGAUGUUGAGCUGAGUAUUGUUGGGCUUAGUAGUGCUUUAUAUUGUUUGUUUUAGUUAGUACGCUGUGCGCAUGUAUUAAAGAGACUAUAAAAGCUUCGGUAUAUAGAAUUUUAUUUUUUAGUGAAAUGAUAUUUUUCUCUUCCACUUUUCUAAAUUGUUCAAUAACUCUGCG
rnacentral:misc_RNA from 1 species